rnacentral:tRNA from 1 species
GAGGUUGUGGCUCAGUGGUAGAGCACUCACCCAGUAUGUGUGAGGCCCUGGGUUUAAUCCUCAGCACCACA